rnacentral:rRNA from 1 species
UACGAGGGGGCGAGCGUUGUUCGGAAUUAUUGGGCGUAAAGGGUGCGUAGGCGGUUUGGUAAGUCUGAUGUGAAAUCUAUGGGCUCAACUCAUAGUCUGCAUCGGAAACUGCCGGGCUUGAGUGUGGGAGAGGUGAGUGGAAUUCCUGGUGUAGCGGUGAAAUGCGUAGAUAUCAGGAGGAACACCUGUGGUGUAGACAGCUUACUGGACCAUUUCUGACGCUGAGACACGAAAGCGUGGGUAGCAAACAGG